AAGUUACUCUUAACAAGAAGAGAGUUUGCUGUGGAUGUGACCAUAAAAACAUUUCUCACUAGGUUUUCUAUCUGCUACCUUUUAUCUGCUAGCAAUCAGCCUGUUGGGAACAUUA